CUGUUUUCCCUUUCCCUCCCCCUUCGCUUGGAAUACCGGGCAGGAAAAGGCCAUCGUUUGCCGCCUAAAGGGCCCAGCAACUUCAGGACGGUCGCGCGUGCGGGCGCGAGGACGGGGCAGCCCUCCCCAGGGUUAGCCCAGAAGCCGUGCCUGCGGGUGACAGCGGACUGGCGGGACACGGCAACCCGCAAGGCAAGACUAGAAAGGUUUCAUGCACGCAAGACCCUUCAGUCCUCCGCAAGCACUGCAGAACACGACUACCGCUAUAAUUCUGAGGGACUAACAACCUAUCGAGGCCUCACCAGAAAACAGGUUAAAGCAUCCUUAAGACUUUCCUGCCAGCCUCACACCAGAAGAGCCUCCUAACUCCACGUCCGGGUGCCUGUCACCUGUCACAGAUGAUAAGCAGUGCAAUCUGACAAGGAAACUCGUCCUCCUGUCAUGUGCAUGGCAACCUCCAGAUUCUCCUGGGGAGCAUGUCAGGAUGUUUACAGACUUCGUGACACUCUAGGAGAACAGCUGUGCUCUUAUCUUCUGUUACCUUGAAGAAAGUGAAAGAGGGAGAGGUUACUGCACGCGGCACAGAACCGACCAAUAUUAGCGGCGAGGCGCACACUCCUUGGCUUCAUCUAAAUAUAGUCUGGAAUUCUCCUGCUUUAAACUUGCAUAGCAGACCAAAAACAGCAGCAGCUCCAGUUUUGGAAGAAACUUAUCCAGUUAACAGAUCUAAAGAGAGAGCUGGAGUUUUCUCCAGGACGGACGUGACAAAAGCUUCAGUGAUAAUAAGAAAUUGCCAGCCUCUAGCUUGAAGACUUUUAAGCCUCUUUUCAGGGUGGGGAAUUGUAGGUAAUCUACAGAGAGCGGCCCAGGAAGAACAUCUGUUUGGUCCUGCCGCUGCUUUUCAAAUAGAAUCUGCAAAACAGGAUUUUUUUUUUUCCCCCUCCCCUUGAGAUCAAGCCUUACAAAAGUUUUUCUAGUUAGCUGCAACUGCUCAAGGUAUCGAGUACUGCCACAGUACCCAAAUCGUGUUUUAAGUGAAGAGGUACAGCAGCCAAGCCA
rnacentral:lncRNA from 1 species